GGGGCUGUGGCGCAGCUGGGAGCGCGCUUCACUGGCAGUGAAGAGGUCAGGGGUUCGAUCCCCCUCAGCUCCACCA
rnacentral:tRNA from 1 species